GAAUAUGGUGUAAUGGUAGCACGUAGAAUUUUGAGUUCUUAGGUGUAGGUUCAAGUCCUAAUAUUCUAG
rnacentral:tRNA from 1 species